rnacentral:rRNA from 1 species
UUUCAUGAGAGUUUGAUCCUGGCUCAGGACGAACGCUGGCGGCGUGCCUAAUACAUGCAAGUCGAACGAACCGCGACUAGGUGCUUGCACUUGGUCAAGGUGAGUGGCGAACGGGUGAGUAACACGUGGGUAACCUACCUCAUAGUGGGGGAUAACAGUCGGAAACGACUGCUAAUACCGCAUAGGACAUGGAAUCACAUGAUUCAGUGAGGAAAGGUGGCGCAAGCUAUCGCUAAGAGAUGGACCCGCGGUGCAUUAGCUAGUUGGUAGGGUAAGGGCCUACCAAGGCGAUGAUGCAUAGCCGACCUGAGAGGGUGAUCGGCCACAUUGGGACUGAGACACGGCCCAAACUCCUACGGGAGGCAGCAGUAGGGAAUCUUCCGCAAUGGACGCAAGUCUGACGGAGCAACGCCGCGUGAGUGAAGAAGGUCUUCGGAUCGUAAAGCUCUGUUGUUAGAGAAGAACAGCGCAUAGAGUAACUGUUAUGCGUGUGACGGUAUCUAACCAGAAAGCCACGGCUAACUACGUGCCAGCAGCCGCGGUAAUACGUAGGUGGCGAGCGUUGUCCGGAUUUAUUGGGCGUAAAGGGAGUGUAGGCGGUCUUUUAAGUCUGAUGUGAAAGCCCACGGCUCAACCGUGGAGGGUCAUUGGAAACUGGGAGACUUGAGUGCAGAAGAGGAGAGCGGAAUUCCAUGUGUAGCGGUGAAAUGCGUAGAUAUAUGGAGGAACACCAGUGGCGAAAGCGGCUCUCUGGCUUGUAACUGACGCUGAGGCUCGAAAGCGUGGGGAGCAAACAGGAUUAGAUACCCUGGUAGUCCACGCUGUAAACGAUGAGUGCUAAGUGUUGGACCUUUCCGGGGUUCAGUGCCGCAGCUAACGCAAUAAGCACUCCGCCUGGGGAGUACGGCCGCAAGGCUGAAACUCAAAGGAAUUGACGGGGGCCCGCAC